rnacentral:snoRNA from 1 species
AGCUUCCAUAAGCUGAGCCUUAGUUUACCUGCCCCUAAAACAGAGAAUGGAUUCGCACGAGAAGAAGAAUUCACAGAACUUAGCAUUAUUUUACCUUCAAUGGAGGUAUAUUUGGCUGUUUUGUGAGACAUUC